GUAGGGAAUAUUGGGCAAUGGAGGCAACUCUGACCCAGCCAUGCCGCGUGCAGGAAGACGGUCCUCUGGAUUGUAAACUGCUUUUGAAUGGGAAGAAACGUAGCUUUGCGAAGCUAUUUGACGGUACUAUUAGAAUAAGCACCGGCUAACUCCGUGCCAGCAGCCGCGGUAAUACGGAGGGUGCAAGCGUUAUCCGGAUUUAUUGGGUUUAAAGGGUGCGUAGGCGGCUUUAUAAGUCUGGGGUUAAAGGCGGCAGCUUAACUGUACGCAUGCCCUGGAAACUGUGAAGCUUGAGUGACUUGGAGGUAGCUAGAAUUCCCUGUGUAGCGGUGAAAUGCAUAGAUACGGGGAGGAAUACCGAUUGCGAAGGCAUGUUACUACGAGUAAACUGACGCUGAUGCACGAAAGCGUGGGGAUCAAACAGGAUUAGAUACCCUAGUAGUCC
rnacentral:rRNA from 1 species